GACGAACGCUGGCGGCGUGCCUAAUACAUGCAAGUUGAGCGCUGAAGGUUGGUACUUGUACCGACUGGAUGAGCAGCGAACGGGUGAGUAACGCGUGGGGAAUCUGCCUUUGAGCGGGGGACAACAUUUGGAAACGAAUGCUAAUACCGCAUAAAAACUUUAAACACAAGUUUUAAGUUUGAAAGAUGCAAUUGCAUCACUCAAAGAUGAUCCCGCGUUGUAUUAGCUAGUUGGUGAGGUAAAGGCUCACCAAGGCGAUGAUACAUAGCCGACCUGAGAGGGUGAUCGGCCACAUUGGGACUGAGACACGGCCCAAACUCCUACGGGAGGCAGCAGUAGGGAAUCUUCGGCAAUGGACGAAAGUCUGACCGAGCAACGCCGCGUGAGUGAAGAAGGGUUUCGGAUCGUAAAACUCUGUUGGUAGAGAAGAACGUUGGUGAGAGUGGAAAGCUCAUAAAGUGACGGUAACUACCCAGAAAGGGACGGCUAACUACGUG
rnacentral:rRNA from 1 species